ACUGCUGCAAUUCAGUGCUCACUAAAUCCUCUUAGCAGUUUAUAGUAUUUCUCUUUUAGAAUCUUUCCUUCUUUUUUCAUACAAACUUUGAGCAAAUAUAUCCUCUUAAACUUACUUCACCCACGCGCAGUUAAGUCCUAUAACCCCCACAUCCCCAUAAACACCCAAUCAACAUUCACGUGCAAUAACACGAGAAAGAGAGAGCGUGAUAAUAUGAAGUUCUAAAAUAAAUACGGAAAACACAAGAACAAAGAAGAGUCGGAUUCAGGAGAAAUCAAGAAGAGAGAGAGAGAGAGAGAGAGAGAGAGAGAGAGAGAGAGAGUGGUGUCAGAGAGAGAAAGUGGGAAGUGGGUAUUUUCGAUUCUUGAUUCAAAAGAUGUGAUUUUUGGAGAAGAACAUAAUAAACAGAGGAGAAUUGAAAUGCAAAGGGAUGGAAGACGAAGCUUAUACAUGAGUAUCAAGAAACAAGUAAGAGUUGAAAAAAAAUGUUUUUUUUAUAUGUAAUAUUUUGUGAAUCUGAAUUGUGUAUCAGUUAAGUGAAGCUCCAAUAAGGUAAAGAGUGUUCACUUUUGUCUGUAUGAAUUCUAAUUCUUCUGACACCUUUGAAGUUUAAAUCUUUGUUCAUUUAGAAUGAAUUUGAACUUGAAGUGUGAAGCUUCAAGCUUUCAAAUUUUGGAAAAAGUUGGCAUUUUGGGUAUGUUUUAGGUAAUCUUGGCAGUUUGAAGUUAUUGAAUUGGAAAUGAAGUUGUGGGUUUUAAGAUUGGAGUUACAGGGAGGUAUUUUUGCUAGAAAUGGAGGGUUUUAUAAAGUAAUGGUUUUGAUGGGGUUUUAAGAUUGGAGUUUUAGUAGGACUUGGGAUUUGAACUAUUUCAAGAUUGGGUUUUUGGAGGGAGAGUUAGUUGAGAAUUUGGAUUUCUGGUGCUGACCUCCGCCCCUUUAAAUCUUAUACUGUUACAAGUUGGGAUUUUGGAGAUGGGAUUUGAUUUGGAAAAUGGAAAGAUUGAUAUUAGAGGGAUUCAUUGUAGUUUCCAAGUUGUUUUUUUGGAGUUUGGGGGAAAACCCUAAUUUAGUGGUGGAAUUGGUUUCUGAUCCUGAAGUUCUUUGUUUUUGAGCAGUGGAAACUUUAUAACCUUUGCUUUUUGUGUAUGGAACUUAUGUGCUGACAGAGAUGCAACCGCCACAUCAGCAUUCACGGAUUAAUCUUGCUGAACUGAAAGCUCAGAUAGUGAGGAAACUUGGAUCAGAUAGGUCGAAACAGUACUUUUAUUACUUAAAUAGGUUGCUGAGCUUGAAGAUAAGCAAGGUUGAGUUCAGUAAGAUUUGUCUUAGGAUCUUCGGAAGAGAGAACAUUCCGCUGCACAAUCAGUUUAUCCGUUCUAUUUUGAAAAAUGCUUGUAGUGCAAAUGUUCCACCAUCAAGUCAUGAGGAUGAGUUUUUGAAGCCUGGUGCAGCGCUUGGCAACAAUGAGGCUUCAAAUGAUGUUUAUGAGCAAAAUGGGUCGCGUGUUUCAUUAAGACAGUCUUCAAGUCAACCAGGUUUGUCAAAUGGGGACAUUUUGCCAUUAUCUCCUCGAAAGGCCAGAACAGGCUUUUGUGAUCGUAGGGCUGGGGAUGGCCGUAGUGCACUUGGACCGAAUGAGAAAACUAGUUUUACUUUUCAACAAUCAACAGCGGAAGAAUCGAGUGAUUUUGAUGUUACUAAGGAAAAUGGUUACUUGAAUCCCCCUGAUGGCCUGAGGUCUGUACAGCACAAUCCAGGACUCAUCCAGCGAUCGGAGGACGAAAGGGAGGCAGCGAAUCUAGAAACUUCCAAACUUUCUUUAACAAAGAGACCACUUGGAGGUCCAGUUUCUGUACAUAACAAAGAUCAGGUUAGUGGUGAUGGGAAAGAGAUGCAUGCUAGGAGUGAGCUACAAGCGCCGCUUGGAGUUCCAUUUUACCCUGUCAGCGUAGUUGGAUCACAUAGAGAAUUGCCUUUGGCAACCAGUAGUAAAUGUUUUAGCUUUUCUAAUUUUGGUGCUUUGUUGGACACCGUAACAUUGAGGGAACGCAUGGAGCAGAUUGCCGCAGAACAGGGAAUUGAAGGGGUGGCAGUCGAUUGUGCCAAUUUGGUGAACAAUGGUUUAGAUUCUUACUUAAAAGGUUUAAUCGGAUCUUGUGUUCAACUUUUGGGAGCAAGGUCUGGGCAUGAACCUACUAAGAUCAGCAGAAAGAAGCAGCAAACCUAUACAAAGCCUGUUAAUGGUCUCAGACCAGGCCAUCAUAUUCAGGUGAGUAGCGAUAAAUCUUCAGAAUUCAUGCAAGAACAGGCUCCCGACAGCCUGAUAUCAUUUCAAGAUUUUAGGGUUGCCAUGGAGCUAAACCGGCAACAACUUGGCAAAGAUUGGCCAUUGCUGCUGGAGAAGGAUACUUCAGUUAUAUGGAAGUCCACCUCACUACUAAAUGAGAGAAUGGUGUUAAAGCAUAGUCGCUGACUAAGUCACUCUGAGGUGUUAGAUUUUCCAGAUUCCUUAUAUAUCGCUUGCCUCGAGGGUAAUGGAGAUGAAAUCAGUCAUUCUUGCUGGAAAACUGGUGACGUUGUUGCUGGUCAAGGAAAAACACUUAUCUAUCUGGAAAAAGAAGAGGCCUUGGUCUCUAAAUAUAGAGUCUUUCUCUCAUUAUCGCUAUGUACUUGUCCAGAUACAGUUGACCUUCUACUUUGAUUGAAUAUUGCUAAACUGUGCGGGAUCUGGACUUUGUUCAUCUCCGAUGUAAGGCGACACUCUUAUGUCCGUGGUCAGAUCUUGUUCAUUCCGAGCAUCAUAAGGCAGAUUAUAUCCUUGAGGUGAUAUGGUGCAUGCUGAUAGAGAUAUUCCGGGUAAACAUUCUCUUCCUUUAACAUGUUGUUGAAUUUGCGAUAAUGAAAGUUCAUUCCUUUUUGUGUUUAAUGCAAUUUUUUCCCUUUUCCUGUUGUUAGGAUGGAUAAUCUUGUUGUUGCUUACAUUGGACGGAAUUGCUCUUUGGAUGAAUUAUUAUGGGUUUUUGGGUAAAAGACCGAGAAGUAAAGUUCGUCGCUUAAUCAAAAAGUAUUUGGUGCCCCUUUCUUUGGCAGAGGUACGUGCAAAAUCUGAUUUUGAUGGUGUCUUAUGGAAACAAAUUGGCAAGAUUUUAAAAAAUAGUCAUAGUAAUCUUUGAAUCUCCAGAAAGGAAAAAAAAACUUUGAAUUUAGUUUAUUAGUUCUUUUUUCUGGAAUAACAUGACUUAUAUAAAAUUUCUCCUUAAAGAUUCUUGCUGGAACUUGUAAUGCAAUUAGAUUCAUGGUGCAAAGGAGGAUUACUUCGGUCAGCUACCAGAUGAUGUUUUGAUUUCCAUUCUCCCACAUUUGACAGUAAUAGAUGCAGCUAGGAUGAGCAUUUUAUCUAGAAGGUGGAAAUAUCUCUUUGCCUCUGUGAGAAGGCACGAGAGAAAAUAUGUUAUUGAUAUUGGAUGAUAAAUACAAUACAAGAGGUCCCUAUUUAUAGCUAUACACUACAAGGAGA